UACGUAGGGGGCUAGCGUUGUCCGGAAUCAUUGGGCGUAAAGCGCGCGUAGGCGGCCCGGUAAGUCCGCUGUAAAAGUCCAGGGCUCAACCCUGGAACGCCGGUGGAUACUGUCGGGCUAGAGUCCGGAAGAGGCGAGUGGAAUUCCUGAUGUAGCGGUGAAAUGCGCAGAUAUCAGGAGGAACACCGGUGGCGAAGGCGGGUCUCUGGGCCGAUACUGACGCUGAGGAGCGAAAGCGUGGGGAGCGAACAGG
rnacentral:rRNA from 1 species